rnacentral:tRNA from 1 species
GCGCCUGUAGCCCAAUGGAUAAGGCACUUGUCUUCGGAACAAGGAUUUGGGGGUUCGAAUCCCUCCAGGCGCA